rnacentral:rRNA from 1 species
GAUGAACGCUGGCGGCGUGCCUAAUACAUGCAAGUCGAGCGAACAGACGAGGAUCUUGCUCCUCUGACGUUAGCGGCGGAAGGGUGAGUAACACGUGGAGAACCUACCUAUAAGACUGGGAUAACUUCCGGAAACCGUUGCUAGUACCGGAUAAUAUAUUGAACCGCAUGGUUCAAUAGUUACAGACGGUUUUGCUGUCACUUAUAGAUAGAUCCGCGCCGCCUUAGCUAGUUGGUAAGGUAACUGCUUCCCAAGGCGACGAUGAGUAGCCGACCUGAGAGGGUGAUCGGCGACACUGGAACUGAGACACGGUCCAGACUCCUACGGGAGGCAGCAGUAGGGAAUCGUCCGCAAUGGGCGAAAGACUGCCGGAGCAACGCAGCGUGAGUGAUGAAGCUCUUCGGAUCGUAAAACUCUGUUAGUAGGGAAGAACAAAUGUGUAAGUAACUAUGCACGUCUUGACGGUACCUAAUCAGAAAGCCACGGCUAACUACGUG